UAGGGAAUCUUCCACAAUGGACGCAAGUCUGAUGGAGCAACGCCGCGUGAGUGAAGAAGGUCUUCGGAUCGUAAAGCUCUGUUGUUGGUGAAGAAGGAUAGAGGCAGUAACUGGUCUUUAUUUGACGGUAAUCAACCAGAAAGUCACGGCUAACUACGUGCCAGCAGCCGCGGUAAUACGUAGGUGGCAAGCGUUGUCCGGAUUUAUUGGGCGUAAAGCGAGCGCAGGCGGAAUGAUAAGUCUGAUGUGAAAGCCCACGGCUCAACCGUGGAACUGCAUCGGAAACUGUCAUUCUUGAGUGCAGAAGAGGAGAGUGGAACUCCAUGUGUAGCGGUGGAAUGCGUAGAUAUAUGGAAGAACACCAGUGGCGAAGGCGGCUCUCUGGUCUGCAACUGACGCUGAGGCUCGAAAGCAUGGGUAGCGAACAGGAUUAGAUACCCUGGUAGUCCAUGCCGUAAACGAUGAGCGCUAGGUGUUGGGGACUUUCCGGUCCUCAGUGCCGCAGCAAACGCAUUAAGCGCUCCGCCUGGGGAGUACGACCGCAAGGUUGAAACGUCUAAAGUGAAUU
rnacentral:rRNA from 1 species